rnacentral:rRNA from 1 species
GACGAACGCUGGCGGCGUGCUUAACACAUGCAAGUCGAACGGAAAGGCCCCUUUGGGGGUACUCGAGUGGCGCACGGGGGAGUAACACGUGAGUAACCUGCCCUUGACUUCGGGAUAACUUCAGGAAACUGGGGCUAAUACCGUCUAGGAAUCCUUGCUGCAUGGUGGGGGUUGGAAAGCUUCGGCGGUUUUGGAUGGACUCGCGGCUUAUCAGCUUGUUGGUGGGGUAGUGGCUUACCAAGGCGUUGACGGGUAGCCGGCCUGAGAGGGCGACCGGCCACAUUGGGACUGAGGGACGGCCCAGGCGCCUACGGGAGGCAGCAGGGGGGAAUAUUGCACAAGGGGCGGCAGCCGGAUGCAGAAACGCCGCGGGCGGGAUGACGGCCUUCGGGUUGAAAAACGCUUUCAGCAGGGGCGAAGCUUGUGGUGACGGUACCUGCAGAAGAAGCACCGGCUAACUACGUG